rnacentral:lncRNA from 10 species
CCAUCUCCGCGCACAGUGGUGGCCACCGCGACUGGUGCUGAAGUGUCGGCGUGUGCCGGGCGCUCCGCUGGGACCCGGGUUGCUCGCCCUGAGUCUCAGCUUUCUCAUCUGUACGGUUGGGACAAGUACAGUAACCCUCGCCCGUCAAGACGGGCCAGGGCUGUGGCGAGGGUCCACGCCUUAGAGCAGGCACCUAUCUUGUGCAGGGCCCUGAGAUGGGGUCUGACUCAGUUCCUGCGGGGAACUUCACCAGUGACCCAGUCAGUGCCCUUCAGUUAAAGACCACCAGGAGCACACUUCAUUGCUGUUGGAAAGGCUGAUGCCAAUCAAAACCAAUUUUUCCCUAAAGGAUGAUCUGUCUUCUCAUCAUUUUGACAGGAUGUAACAAAACAAAGGAGUCUUCAAUGUUGU